rnacentral:lncRNA from 1 species
AAUGACUUAGAUAUUAUAGUUCAGUUGGUUUUCAUUUAUUUGGACAAAUAUGUUUUUGUGAAAGUAAUAAUGUGCUUAUGGUUCCUUUAUAAGAUGAAAAUGGUUUUCUACCUCUCGUGGUAGCGUGUUUCAAAAGAAAAGGUUUUCGUGUGGGAAACGAUUUUAAAAAGGGUUUUCUGGUUUUCCUAAUUCUUAGUAUUUCAAAAUAAGUUUUCAAAUGAAAAAUGUUUUAAGCUAAUAGAUAUGGAUUUAUGAUAAACUGUGAUGAAUGUGAAUGAUGUAUGUGAAUGGUGAAUGUAUGUGGAUGUUCAUACUGUGUGGUUGUAUCUUGUACUUGUGCGACACCGUACAAAUACAGGGAAGACUCUGUCCGUGUGAACAGUAGAUUUCCUAUAUUUGUGGCGGAUCUGACAUUCUCUGGAGUCAAAGUUUUUUUUUUUAAAAAAAAAAUUGGGCAUUUCUGCAUCGUUUUAAAUCCAAAAAGUGAUCCUGAGGCAUGACAAAUAUAUUAUAUUAUUUUCGUGUAACAUACUAAAUUAUACAUAAUUUAGUGUAAAAAUCAUGCAAAAUGUGUAUUAAAAAUGCAUAUGUUGUACUAUUUAUACAGAUAUUGCACUACUUGGAAGAGUAUGUUGUACUAUUUGAGAGGAUAUUGCACUUUUUCAUCUUAUUAAUUAUACUUUAUUCUUUUUAUUUUAUUUUAAAUGAGGAUUCUCGUUUAACGAGAAACCUAUAUGUAAUUAUGGUUUAACAGUUGUCAUUUUCAAGAAAUUUGAUACUUUAUUUAAUAUGCAANAAUGAAAUUUAAUUUUCAAAAAGAAAGAGUGCAACACACAUCUAAAUGGUGCAAUAUCCUCUCAUAAUAGUGCAAUGUUUACACAAAUGGUAUAAAUAUCUGUACAAAUAGUAUAAAAUAUACACCGUUUAUAAAUAUAUUAUAUUAUUUUUAUAGUAUCUUGUAAAAUAUUAUAUUAUUUUCACAUACUAUACUAAACUAUAUAUAAUUUAGUAUAAAAAUCAUGCAAAAUAUGUAUUAACAAUGCAUAUUUGCACUACUUAUAUAGAUAUUGCACUAUUUGGAAGAGCAUGUUGCACUAUUUGAGAGGAUGUUGCACUUUUUUAUCUUAUUUAUUAUAUUUUAUUCUUUUUAUUUUGUCUUGAAUGAAAAUUCUUGUUUCACGAGAAGGGUACAUGUAAUUAUGGUUCAAAAGUUGUCAUUUUCAAGAAAUUUAAAACUUUAUUUAAUAUGCAAUAAAAUUUAAUUUUUUUUAAAAGAGAGUGCAACACACAUUUAAAUGGUGCAACAUCCUAUCAUAAUAGUGCAACGUUUGCAUAAAUGGUAUAAAUAUCUGUAUAAAUAUUGUAAAAUAUACAUCGUUUAUACAUAUAUUCCCAACAACUAAGCAAAGACAAUUUAAAGCUAAUCACCAGAUAUGAGAAUAAAGAACAGCAGAACAAAACCAAAGAGAAAAGUUUUUUAGUUUGAGAUUGAAGAAAGCAGACAGUCGUGAAGCGAGAGAAGCCUACACAGAUUCCGGUAAAAAUUGGGGUGCAAAUGGAAAAACAACUUAGCAAUAUAAAUAUUCAACAAAUACAUAUAUGUAGUAUCUAUAUAUUUACUUAUGUGCACUCUCACAUUUACAGAGAGCAGAGAAGAAAACGCAACAAAAUUGAUCUCUAGAUAAUUCAAUGCGCAACCUCAGUGGCACAUUUAAUUUAAACCCUCAUUAGAUGUUUUCAUCAAGCCAAACUGGUCCGCAGCAAAAGUAUUAAUUAUGAUGCCUUCAACACUUACAUGAAUAAAAAUAAAAAAACAUAUUGAUUCUCAGAUGCUUAAAGUAAUCAACAAAAGUUAGAAACUAAAAGCAUUUGACACUAUGAAGAAAAAAUUAUAUCCACCGAAAUCAGCCAAGGGCAAAAAAAAUAGUUUAGGAAAAUAUAAACAGCAAAACACAAUCAUGGCCAAGAGUAAAAGAAAAAAAAAAAAUACUAAAAGAAAGGUUGAACAUAAAAAAUAAAUUAGUGUAAAACUCACAAUACGAAACACAACUUCAGCCAAGAGUAGAAGAAAAGAACAAACACCAAGAGGAAAGUUGAUCAUAAAAAAUAAGUGUGAAACUUCCAGCAUGAAUCAAAAUUUAGUAGGAGGUUUACCAUUAAAUAAGUAAAAAUUAAUAAGUAUAGAACAUGAAAUAAUGCAAGGCUCAGUAUGGAUCAGAAUUCAGCAGAAAAUAUCUGAAGGCUCCCAGAAUCGCUUGAGGACUACACAAUAGGCUGCAGGGAUUGCCUACAAAUAAUUAUAAAAUAGGAAGUGAUAAAAGGCUCAGUAUGGAUCAUAAUUCUGUAAAAAUAUCUAUAAACUCUUAGAAUCAGUUGAAAACCUACACAUAGGCUGCAGGAAUUGCUGAGGGGCCAUUCAUCCUACCAUGCCAUUAAGUUGAAAUCCAGCAGAGAAGGUAAUAUUCGGGAAUUGCUCAUAUUAUCAUCACUUGCCAUCCAGGAGGCCAUGCCAUAUACCACAAAUUUAGCGAAUAAGGUAAUAUUUGGGAAUUACUAUCCAUAUCAUCAUCGCCUCACACCAAGGAGUAGAAGGAGCAACACAACCACCAAAGAAAAGAGCAAUUAAAAAAUGGCAAAAAAUAAUCUACAAAAAUAUAGCAAUUCAUCUCCUCAUCAGAAGAAGAUGCUAAAUAGAAACGCCGCAAAAAAACACUUCACCAAAAUACACCAUUGAAAAGAAGACAACAAGUAGUAACAAAAUGCAAAAUAUAACACAUUAAUCCAUUCCCUAUCCAAAAGAAGAUGCUAAGUAGUAAGGUAGUUAAAAAAAUAUAUAUAUCACCAAAAUACACCACUGAGAAGAAGAUGAUAAGGAAUAAGGCAAGGAAAGAAGAAGAAAAAUGAAUCUACGACAGAGAGAGAAAAGAGAUGGAGGGAGAAAGGGCUAGCAGUGUCGGAGGUGAUCAUGCAUUUAUUGUUCGUGGCGGAGGCAUUAAUUGCACAGAUUUGGGGUGGCAAAUCACGGCAGGGAGGUGAAUGGAUUUUCGGAGAGGUGCUGGUUGAGUACCGUAUGGAUCCGCGGCGGCAUCAAAUCCCUGAAUCAUCGGAGAGGGGAAGCAGCGGCCGCGCGGCGGAGAGUACGAAUUAACCCUAGGCAAAUAGAUUGUAGGACGGGGAGUGGCGAGAGAGAGAGAGAGAGAGAGAGAGAGAGAGAGAGAGAGAGAGGG